GAUAUUUGUUCAAUUCUUGUCAAUAAUUGUUGAGAAGUAUUUACAAUAGAGUGAGUUGAAAAAAUGAAUAUUCGAGUAUCCCGAUUUGAUACUUAAUUUUGAUGAGAAAAAUACAUUAAACUCACUGUUCACAGCUACCCAUUCAUUGAGAUCUUCUCCUUCAGGAAGCAUAACAGCUAAUCGUAAGUUACCAGAGCCCAGUGUCGCAGCAGCAUGUUUCAUUAACUCAUACUGAUGGGUCCCUUCAGGUAUAUUCUUUUUUGGCUUGAAUGUUUUUGAAGAACGGCUUCCA